AGAAUCUUUCUCCUCCCUUCUUUGUGGUUCCUGAACUGAUAAAAAUGAGCUGCAUUUGCUUACUUUAUUGGAAUACAGUCCUCCCAUAACAAGACUAAGUGAAAGAGAACAUGUUUUCCAGGGGAAGAAAGCAUGGACUACGGCGGAGCUAAACAACAUUUACCAGCCUACCACAGAGUUAUGGGGGAGAAGGUUAUAUGACCAAGAUUUAGACAACAAAAAGUGAUCAGAAGGUCAUCUGAAUAUCCAGGCACAACCCAGGCAUACUAGACCUUGAUCACACUGGAAGUGCGUGACCAUGGGGAUGUGGUGUGUAAAGCAAGAAAACAUAGGGACAGAAAUACAACACUGGAGAGAUCACUUGAUGUCAUUUCUGAUGGCUUUUAUCCAUCCUGCCCAAAUAAAAUAAACAAAUUACCCUGCUACUUUACAAUGCUAUUAAAUUUUUUUUUUAAUUUUAUACUUGGUUUGUAUUUAGCUGGAUUGCUCUAGUGUUCCUCUGAUCUAAACUAGCUGCUUCUGCACUUUUUCUAACUAACCCAUUAAUAUGCUAGUAAACUAAUAACCAACAUUUAUAUAAGGCUCUAUAUUUAAAAUGCUUUCACAUUAAUUAUCUCACUAAAUUCAGUUUAUCCUACUCCACAGAGACAACCUGGUAUUUCUAAAGUAUA
rnacentral:lncRNA from 1 species